GACGAACGCUGGCGGCGUGCUUAACACAUGCAAGUCGAACGAAGAGCGAUGGAAGCUUGCUUCUCUCAAUCUUAGUGGCGAACGGGUGAGUAACGCGUAAUCAACCUGCCCUUCAGGGGGGGACAACAGUUGGAAACGACUGCUAAUACCGCAUACGAUCUAAUCUCGGCAUCGAGGAUAGAUGAAAGGUGGCCUCUACAUGUAAGCUAUCACUGAAGGAGGGGAUUGCGUCUGAUUAGCUAGUUGGAGGGGUAACGGCCCACCAAGGCGAUGAUCAGUAGCCGGUCUGAGAGGAUGAACGGCCACAUUGGGACUGAGACACGGCCCAGACUCCUACGGGAGGCAGCAGUGGGGAAUCUUCCGCAAUGGACGAAAGUCUGACGGAGCAACGCCGCGUGAGCGAUGACGGCCUUCGGGUUGUAAAGCUCUGUUAAUCGGGACGAAAGGCCUUCUUGCGAAUAGUGAGAAGGAUUGACGGUACCGGAAUAGAAAGCCACGGCUAACUACGUG
rnacentral:rRNA from 1 species